GGGGCGUUGCCGGGACUGGAGAAUGGAGGCCGCCAAGCCUGCGUUAGUAAGAGGCCCACCGAGUUCUCUGCAGACUCUGAGCCAGUCCUGUAAUCCUUUGUUUUUUCUGGGUGCUAUAGCCGCCCGACAUUCCUGGGUGGCUUGCUCGUUAAAGAGCUGUUCUAUGAGCGGCGCUGCUUGCUCCGCAUCACCAAAUAUUCGUCCAGCAGUUUCUGUCAUUCUGGCUACGAAGUCUGAGAACGGUUCCUGAGGUCCUUGGAUGAUACGACACCGUUUCCAGAGCCGUGAUCACAGACUGUGAGGAUCCCAUGAGGGACCAAGAACGCCCAGCGGCUUAUCUACGUCCAUCUGACAAGGCUUCUGAAUCCUCCUUGUCACCAAGGGGUCUCCGGAGGUGCUGAUGAGGUCUUUUUCCCGGGUUUCGGCACCAAAUAUCCCACGCCACGUCUCGCCAGCAAGAAUGACGCAGGACACAAAGGAUCCUUCUGCAGAAAUAGCUUUAAUGCAUCUUGAGAGCGAGAGCACAAGCUUACAAUACGGAGACCCCGAGUGAGGGAAAGACCAUCCCUUAUAUAGGAAACUAUCCUCGCCUCGGACGUGUCACUCUCUGGCUGGUCGCUGCCAGAUGUGCCAGAUGACGUACCACAGCAUACGCGUGACGUACCACAGCAUACGUGUCCCCCUGAGUGAGGAAUUUACCAGGCGCUUGCGUAUUGCCCUUUUAUUAGGUGCAUCCUGCCGGAUAUCGGCGCCAUCUUACAAUGGAGAAUGUGAGGACGGCCCUCCACAUAAAACCUAAAUGCUACUAAGACCUUGAAACUGGACUUGAAACAAGGAAUAUAAAAGCAUUUCUCCACUGGCUAGUUUUGUGUGUCAAUUUGACACAAGCUGGAGUUAUCACAGAAAAGGAGCCUCAGUUGUGGAAAUGCCUUCAUGAGACCCAGCUAUAAGGCAUUUUCUCAACUAGUAGUCAAGGUGGGAGGAUCCAGCCCAUUGUGGGUGAUGCCGUCCCUGGGCUGGUAGUCUUGGGUUGUAUAAGAAAGCAAGCUGAGCAAGCCAUUGGAAGCAAGCCAGUAAGAAACAUCCCUCCAUGGCCUCUGCAUCAGCUUCUGCUUCCUGAUCUGCUUGAGUUCCAGUUCUGACUUCCUUUGGUGAUGAAACAGCAAUGUGAAAGUAAGCUGAAUAAACCCUUUUGAUGACGCCUGUGUUGUCACGAUAUUGAGAACCGGGCGUAGGCCUGUGAGAUUUAAGAAGAACCACAUACUUGGGUCAUCCGUGUUAAGAGAAUGCCAUCCCGGCUUUACUGAGAUCUCCUUAUAUACAAGAGGCAAAAGCAGUGGAAAAGUACUAGAGCAGGUGGAAAAUCCCCAACCAGGGAAACAGGAAGAAUCUGCACCGUGGAAAGUCUAGGCCCCAAAUCAGGGGCUGAGAGCAGUUGCCAAAGGUAUAAACAACUUCUUGUCAUAGCAGGCUGAAAGGCUCAGCGAGGGGGAAGAGAAACACCCCAAGGUAGGGCCCAACACCCUUUACUCCCCAACUUGCAUCUUGGUCAUGAUGUUUGUGCAGGAAUAGAAACCCUGACUAAGACAAUUUCUUACAUCUAGGACUUGAUUCCCAAACUUCCUGGAAAAGAAUGCUGUUUGUUUCCUUUCCUCUUGCUGUGAGAAUAUAUUAAAAUUUAAAGAAGAGGU